AAGUCGUAACAAGGUCUCCGUUGGUGAACCAGCGGAGGGAUCAUUACAGAGUUCUCUCGCGAGACUCCCAAACCAUUGUGAACAUACCCGUACCCGUUGCCUCGGCGGGCGUCCCCCCGCGGGGUGUCCGCCGCCGGCCCACCAAACUCUUAUUCUGUUAGGGACUCUCUGAGAAAACAAGCAAAUAAGUUAAAACUUUCAACAACGGAUCUCUUGGCUCUG
rnacentral:misc_RNA from 1 species